CACGGGGGGAGCAAACGUUGUUCGGAAUCACUGGGCGUAAAGGGCGUGUAGGCGGCUGAAUAAGUGGGAUGUUAAAUCCCCCGGCUCAACCGGGGACCUGCAUCUCAUACUGUUCAGCUCGAGCACAUCAGAGGAGACUGGAAUUCCCGGUGUAGCGGUGAAAUGCGUAGAUACCGGGAGGAACACCAGUGGCGAAGGCGAGUCUCUGGGAUGAUGCUGACGCUGAGGCGCGAAAGCUAGGGGAGCGAACGGG
rnacentral:rRNA from 1 species